rnacentral:tRNA from 1 species
GGCUCUGUAGUCCAGUGGUAAAGCGCUCGUUCGCCUGCCAGUGGGUCUUGGGUUCGAUCCCCAACAGGAUCG